AUGGACCACCUCUGGGGCCCUUCAGAUCUAGGAGCCAGGAGACCCCACGUCACAGCAGUGGCACGCCGUCAGGUGCACAAAAACACUGACGAAAGGCUUUUUUCUCAAAGGACCCACCGUCCUCCCUGCCUCCACCCGCUAUCUUCCCUGCCUCUACCCGCCGUCCUCCCUGCUUCCAUUGUCCUCCCUGCUUCCACCCACCGUCCUCCCUGCUUCCAUUGUCCUCCCGGCUUCCACCCAUUGUCCUCCCGGCUUCCACCCAUUGUCCUCCCUACUUCCAUUGUCCUCCCUGCUUCUACCCACCGUCCUCCCUGCCUCCACCCGCCGUCCUCCCUGCCUCCACCCGCAGUCCUCCCGGCUUCCACCCGCCACCCUCCCUGCCUCCACCCGCCGUCCUCCCUGCCUCCACCCGCCGUCCUCCCUGCUUCCACCCCCCGUCCUCCCUGCUUCCACCCAUCGUCCUCCUGGCUUCCACCCGCCGUCCUCCCGGCCUCCACCCCCCGUCCUCCCGGCUUCCACCCAUUGUCCUCCCGGCUUCCACCCGCCACCCUCCCUGCCUCCACCCGCCGUCCUCCCUGCCUCCACCCGCCGUCCUCCCUGCUUCCACCCGCCACCCUCCCUGCUUCCACCCCCCGUCCUCCCUGCUUCCACCCAUCGUCCUCCCGGCUUCCACCCGCCGUCCUCCCGGCCUCCACCCCCCGUCCUCCCGGCUUCCACCCAUUGUCCUCCCUGCCUCCACCCGCCGUCCUCCCUGCCUCCACCCGCCGUCCUCCCUGCUUCCACCCGCCACCCUCCCUGCGUCCACCCACCAUCCUCCCUGUUUCCACCCCCCGCCCUCCUGGCUUCCACCCACCGUCCUCCCUGCUUCCAUUGUCCUCCCUGCUUCCACCCACCGUCCUCCCUGCCUCCACCCGCCAUCCUCCCUGCCUCCACCCGCCGUCCUCCCUACUUCCAUUGUCCUCCCUGCUCCUACCCACCAUCCUCCCUGCCUCCACCCGCCGUCCUCCCGGCCUCCAUCCGCCGCCCUCCCUGCCUCCACCCGCCGCCCUCCUGGCUUCCACUCACCAUCCUCCCUGUUUCCACCCCCCGUCCUCCCUGCUUCCGCCCGCAGUCCUCCCGGCCUCCACCCGCCGUCCUCCCUGCUUCUACCCACUUCUGUAG
rnacentral:lncRNA from 1 species